UAAUUCUAAAAUUUCAAGUGUGAAUGAUCUCAGGCUUUACGGUAGACGGGGAGAAGGUAUGUCAUCUCUCUACUUUAUAUUUAUAUGGUAUUUUGGAUUUGUAGAUGCUGAUUGUGAUUAAUGAAAAAAGAAUUUAUGUUGUUGAUAUAAGAAAAGAUGGGUUUACCGUCUUCGAUAUUAUAACUUUAUUUUUGGUGUUUGAAAAUAGGUAUUGAUCAAUUUAUAUGUAAUGUGGUUGCUUACCAUCUUCUUCUAUUUGAGACUUGCAUUAUCAUGACAUCAUGCAAGAGUUGGUUCAUAGUUUUGAAAUAGAAAAAUAUUAGAAAAAGAAGAGAACAUACAACCAAGUCUUCCAUACGAAGAUAUAGUUUAAAAAUAUGCUAUAUCUUAUCUAAUAAUAGUCAUUAUUAGAUAAGAAAGAAAAGAUUAUGAUUGAUCAUUGGAUUGGUUUAAAUUAUUUGAAUGAUUUUCGAAAAGGAGAGUGUUGAUCACUAUAUUAGUUAUAAUAAUCUAUAAUUAAGGUAAGUAUCCAAUGAUUUUGUCUAACUUGUUUCCAAAUUUAAUAAUAUAUAUUUGUUAAUAAUGAAGUUAUGUGAUUUGCAAAUGUUAAAUCGGCUUUUGAAAAUAAGAUCGUUGAUAUUGUAUCUAUUUAAAAUAAUUAAAAAUAUUAUUUCAAAUGAUAUGCGACGAGUUAUGCAUUGGAAGGAUAUGUCAAUAUGUUAUUUCAAAUGAUAGUUAAUUAUUUAAUUAGUUGGUUUUGAUUUAGUCGGGGUUAUACAUUGGUCAUAAGUGCAUAAAACAAUAUCUUCUAGGUCUAACACAAAGAUAAAUGUAUUAUCUAUACCAUAGAGAUUAAAUAUGAUUUUGAUCCCGGUAACGAUGAUACAAUAUGGUCAUAGCCAUUAGCACUCUAACUUUUGUUUUUUGUUUUAAUGUAUGCCCUUUGUUAUAGUUAUGACUAUAGAUGUAUUUAGAAGUGAAAGCUUAGGUAUAAUGAUACAUAUUCAUAAUUAGUUAAGGACAAUCUUUGCAUUAAAAAGAAAUAUAUCCACUUAUGUUUUGUUAUGCAAAUGUUUUCAAAGAUAAUGUUAUUCUAUGCGCUUAUUAUGCUAAAAAGUUAUGAUUUGACAAGCACGUUUGUUCUUUAUUUAAGCGUAGAAGAGGGUUUAACAUUUGUGCAUAGUUUUAUAAAAUGGAUCUAUGAUAAGUUUUGCUAAUAUAUGAGUUUUGGUGUUUACUAAGUUAUGGUUGCUCAUAUCCUUGUUGUUAAAAAUUUUCAAAUGCCUAUGAGUAGAUUGAAUUUGGUUAUACAUCAAGAUAAUAAAUUAAAUCGUUUAAUUUGUAUCUGAGAGCUCAAUAUGUCGUUGUUGUUAUAUGUAGACAUUAUUGAAGUAUCUAUUUUGUAUUGCCUAUAGUACAUAUAUUUGGAUUUAAUAGGUCUAUCUAAUUUUUGGUGUUGGAACUAAAAAAAAAAAGGAGGUGUUGCAAUAUUUGAUAUAGUUAUAAAAUAGAAGUUCUUUAAUAGUAUUUUUGUGGCAUCUGUUCACUUUCUGAAUUCAUUGUUUGUUUCUCCUCCGGGAAUUAGCUGAUGUGUCUCAGGAAAUCUAUCCGUUUCUCCUCCAAUUACUUGAUGUGAUUUUGAGCUUGGGCUAAAAGUUUCUAUUGCUGGGAUUCGAAAUACUAUAGAUAAUGACAUAUCAGUAAUCAUCUUUCUUAAUCGUUUUAGAAUUAUUAUCUGGUAGUUCAGAUUUUUUCUAAUAAACCUAUUAUCAUCAAUUUUUUCUAUUUAAAAUGAUUCGACAACAUUUGUCUAUCUCUAUAGAAAAAAAUAAAUUUUUGAUUAUGUAAGAUCAGUUAAAGACUUAGUCAUCCCUAUUCAGGCACAACUCUUCUUGUAUAUAUUUUUCCGUAAAUAUUAAAUAAUUUAUAUCUUUCUUUCAGGAGAAAUUAAAUAAUUUAUAUCUUCCAUCUUAUUCUCCCUCGUAAAGACACAUAAAAUAUUUAUAGACGAAAUAAACCCUUUGGAUAUGGCUCUUAAGAUGAUAAUAUUCUAACCUCUUUAAUAUUGCUCAAAUUUAAAGAUAAGACUGAUCCAAUCAAAAUAAAUAUUAAAAGAAAUAAAAUCAUGUCAAAUGUAAACGUUAACUUUGUCACUCCAAGUUGUUUCUAUAUUAUCAAAUAAAAUCAUGAGUUGGACCUCCAAUUAACAAAGACUCCUCUUAUAUAUAUAUAUAUAUAUAUAUAUAUAUAUAUAUAUAUAUAUAUAUAGUACGAAGUCGAUGAAGGAUACAUCGACACGGGAAAAAACGUCCGAAUCGCUACUUUGAGGAUUCUACACAGGUACGUACGUGGUUCACCGUUCGAAGCUUUCCCGACGGAACUCGCAACUGCUACACCAUUCCCGGGUUGAAGGAAGGGGACAGGUAUCUCGUAAGGGCCUCCUUCGGUCACGGCAACUACGACGGCCAAGCCAUUGGGGACUCCGUCGCCCCACCGCUGCUAUUCCAUCUCUAUGUCGGUGUCAACCUCUGGCAAACCAUCAACAUCACCGAGGUGUUCGCACUUUACGGGGCCGAGUUUAUUACUGCCGCCCCGUCCGACUCCCUGUCGAUAUGCCUGGCCAACAUUGGUUCGGGAACACCGUUCGUAUCUUCGCUGGAGUUGAGGCAUAUCGACAACCACCUGGCGUACCAGGACGCGACUCAAUCCGCUGCACUACUGUUCCACAGUCGCUACAACUUGGGAUCCCUCAGUUGAUGCUAUGAUGGGGAUAAAGAAAUUAUAUCAGAUGAAGAUAUGGCAGGGUGAUCCUUGUGCUCCGCAGCAAUUCAUUUGGAGUGGAGUAAAUUGCACCUACUCAAGCUCUGGUACCCCAAGAGUCACCUCAUUAAACCUCUCUUAUCAUGGAUUGGAUGGUGCUAUACCAAAUGCUUUGGCUAAUCUGAAGGCCCUUAACUAUUUGGACUUGUCAGACAAUGAUUUAACAGGCCCAAUACCGCCCUCUUUAGAAGAAUUGACAUCACUCAAUGUGCUGUAAGAACAGAUUUUU